AGAAAGAUCUCUGACUUGCAAAUGUCACUCUGGUUAAGGAAUGACUGUCAAGGUAUGCCAGUCCUUGAUAGUACCAGGUAGGAAGCAGUGGCCAGGAGUAUGUCAGCAACUCUGCUCCCAGAAAUGUCUGAUCUGACCAUGGUGACACAUGCCGGCCCACCCAGGUGCUGAGAUCUUCCAGAGACGCCUUUCUGUCUCUCCUGCCACCAUCUGAGAUGUGUUUCGCUGUGGCCAGACUUGAGGACUCCCUACUGAAGGAGACUUGUCUAGCCCCAUUGCAGAUGACCUGCCAACAGGCAAACAUCUUUGUAUGUAAACAGACAUUUGGCUGACUGGGCUGCUUUGUUUUUCUCUGGUGCUCUGUGUCUUAAUCUAUCUUUUUUACUUGCGAUAAAGCUUCCUUUUUAUUUUUUUAUCUUAUUUUUAUAGUCAGUCAUGUAUCUGGAUUUUACUGUUAGUCACUUGGGACAUUUUUCAUGGAAAGAAAGAAAUGAAUGUUUAAUCAUGUCAGCCUAAAGCAUAGUUAGAAUGGUAGUGUAGUUCUGGGAUAGGUUUGUCUUCCUGAAAGUCUUGAUUUAAUGAACAAAAAUAUGAAGUGAGAUUUUUUAAAAAGAAUUAAUGAGUGAUGCUUAGUGCCGCGAGUUGAACUAAUUAAGGCUGGCUUGUUGCCGCACCAUCUUGGGCUGUGAUAUUUUCAGCAUUUAUUCGAUAAGGAACAUCAGGCUGAGCAGCACUUACAUAGGAGACAUUAAAUUGAAUCCCAGAUCCUGCAAAAGAUGUAAUUAAUGACCAGCGUAACAUCAUUUUGCCUUACCCCAUCAGAUUUCUUUCACAUAUGCUACUGAGCAUGCUCAAAUGUAAUAGAGCACAUUCAGUAGUGUAAAACAGAGCUUUCCCCCCUUUUUUCUGCCCACACCUUCCUAUCAGAUUUCACUCUAUUCACAAGGUGGA